rnacentral:rRNA from 1 species
UACGUAGGGUGCAAGCGUUGUCCGGAAUUAUUGGGCGUAAAGAGCUCGUAGGCGGUUCGUCGCGUCGGCUGUGAAAACCUGAGGCUCAACCUCAGGCCUGCAGUCGAUACGGGCGGACUUGAGCACUGCAGGGGAGACUGGAAUUCCUGGUGUAGCGGUGGAAUGCGCAGAUAUCAGGAGGAACACCGGUGGCGAAGGCGGGUCUCUGGGCAGUGAACUG